AUAAACUGCUUUUCUUUGAAAAAUAAGCACAUUUCUAAGUGACCCCAAACCUUUGAACGGUAGUGUAAAAGCACAAGUCCUUUAUUCAUUAAAGGGACGUGCGUGUUAUUUAGGCAGCUGCUGCAUAAACCACGAGUCUCACAACAGUCCUUAAUAGUUUCACUCUUUAACAAACUUCACUGCAUUAGUUGACAUGUAUCAAAAUUCCUAUUACAAACUUCACCUACAAAAGAUGCAGACAACACAAAUAAUACCAACAAGCUCCUUUAAAAGCUGAAAGAACCAUCAUGUGUCACAUCUCAAGAGUUGGGAUUGUUUCCAGAGCCCAACAAACAGGUUUUUCAUGACAUGUUAGCCACCAUGCUGAGUCAUCAUUAAACAUUUCCAGUAAAGCAGAAGUCAAAGUUUGAACUGCGGGCCUUUAAGAGGGGCUUCAUGGGAAACGUUUUGGGAGAGGGUUUUGUCCUCUUCGUCAUUAGCUGAGGAGAGGAGGGAAUUCUGGAUAUAUAUAUAUAUAUAUAUAUAUAUAUAUAUCCUGUUUCCUGUUGCUUUUAGUGUGUUUCCUAUACAGUUUCAUACAUAAACUAGAACGGGCACUCGGUAGAGCGCAUACCUUUGCAUAUCACAAGAUUGGGCAUUGGAUUAUGAACAUGUUGGCAUUAGUUGCAUUCCAAUUGGAUAAAAAUUGACCGUGCUAUGGUAAAAAGAAGAUUUUGACCUUUUCAUGACCUAUACAUUGACCUUUGACCCGAUCGAUCCCAAAAUCUAAUCAAAUGGUCCCCGGAUAAUAACCAAUCAUCCCACCAAAUUUCAUGCGAUUCAAGAGGAUGUUGACCUUUUCAUGACCUUGACCUUGACCUUUGACCCGAUCGAUCCCAAAAUCUAAUCAAAUGGUCCCCGGAUAAUAAACAAUCAUCCAACCAAAUGUCAUGCGAUUCGGUUUAAUACUUUUUUUGUUAUGCGAAUAACACGCAUACAAAUAAAUAAAUACACGGCGAUCAAAACAUAACCUUCCGCAUUUUCAAUGCGAAGGUAAUAAUAAACUAUUACCAGGAGUAUGAUAUUCCAGUAGAACAAAUAAACUUCAUAGUAGACUCAUUGGAUACAUUAUUAAAACGCGAUUUAGUUUAGAAUUAAAAUAUGAAAAAACUAAGGAGUGGUCCAGUAAGGGGGCGGGGCUUCUUUUCUUUCUUUAUGUUUUCUUUCUUUCUUUCUCUGUUUCAUUUCCUGACGACUUAACCAUGGUGAGUACCGCUGCUUUGAAGCGCUUUCCUCUGCGACUACUUUAUAUCAUUAUUAUUAAUCUGUAUAUCGAUACUUUCCCUUGCCAGUGAGUGAUUGUUGUUCUGUGUCGUGUGUUAUUUCAGGAUGAUCCAGAGCAAAUACGCAAAGAAGACUUUCUGAUAGAGAAAGACUCUUUCACAAGGAACGCCUUCUUGCUCAUCAACAAAAUGAUGGAGCUGAUGAAGGAAGUUUCUGGUGAAGUCACAGCUUUCGCUGAUGAGAUUCUUCACAGCAUCUUCUUUUUGGGAAAAAUCCAGAAACUACCAUUUUCUCCAGAGGAUAUUGUGACUGAUGGAGAGAUGUUGAACGAAUUGCAGGACCUCUUCCCUCGAGCCUUUGACCUUUAUUCCUCUCAGCUACCAAAGCGGGGUCCGUUUUCAUGCCUGCUAGACAUGGUUGUCCAUCUGAAUGGACGAGACAACGAAAUGUUAAUCAUAGAGCGUCUGGGCGAGAUCAUCAGGGAGCUGGACCUCAGGCAGGAUCUGGUGUCCUCCACCAUCUGUGUCUCUCACAUAGCCGAUACUAAAGAUCCAGUCAAGUACUAUGGAGUCUCCAAUUCCGCUCCUGGCCGUCUUCCGAGGAAAAUCAUGAUUGCUGCGUCCUGUCUCGGCUACUGGGACAGGUAUGUAGCAGGUGCAGUGAUGACCUACUUUCCAUCCAAGCAGAAAGAUUUUGAGGGAACUAUCCAACUUCCUGAGUGUGUCAGGUGCCAGGCGUUCAGCCUCUGGAGGAACAAACACAUGCUUCCUUGCGGAUCAUGUGGCAAUUUGUUUGGUUUGAAACCAUGUGAAGAGAAGGAGUGGGUAUAUGGCAACUGUGCCGAAGUUGAAAGUUUGAGCAACUUGUUUAAACAUGUGGAUGACGUCAAAGUGAGCGCACAACCAACAUCUAGGAUGUACUCGGAUGGGGCGAUGCUUAAGCUUGAAGGGCGUGUGAGGAAAGAUCUCACCAAUUGGCUUAAAGGUCGGGAAUUUAAAUGGAAGAAUACUUUCUACAUCCCUCAACGUGUCUCUGAUCUUAAAAGGGGACAUGAUUAAAUUACCUAUUAAAUAGUGAACUAUGCCCACAACUCCUGUGAUCUUUUAUUAUGACGUGAACAACAGGUAUUGUUGAUUAUAUACUUGUGAUCAUAUAGACACUGAAAUUCCCACGUGGGGCCGAUCACAGCAGACGCUUCAAAAACGCUCCCUGGCAACAGCUGAUGAGCCUGUGGAGAGGGGGUGCGCGCGCAACCAGGCGAUCAAACUUAAAUAACGUGGGGGAUGUUUCAACGCAGACAUCGAUCACUUCUUAAUCUUACUCGUAAUUAACGAUCACUAAUAUCAAUGUCUGUUCCAACCACAUCUACCAGCUUAAAAAUCAGGAAGUCAAAGGUGAAGUAGUAAAGCCCGCCUCUUGCUUGAUUUGAUUGGUUCCCUCGGUCCAGUGACGGCGGUGCGACUGCGCACGCAGCACUGAAGACUUGAGGAAUAUUUAAACUUUUAUGCGCGUCAUAAAACCGCCAGAGCUGUCUCUAUAUUGAAUUGUUUUUAACAAUGCUUAUUGCUAAUUAUUCAGCUUCUUACAAACAAUAAAAACAUGAAUGCAUUAAUUGCUGCCAAGAUAUAUAAGUGCAUGUAUUGAUCCUGUCAAUGGCAAUAAAAUCCAACGAUUGUU